UGCUGGAACCUGCUUGUAGCUUGUGGCCAGACUGUGGCAUCUGCUAGCAACUUCAACCUGGUUCUUUUCUUCAGACUUUCUACGGUUGUUUUUUUUCACCCAGUGCAUAGGAAGUUGCUGAGCUCUGUGUGGUCUCCUCUCUAACUCCCAGUUUUUUUCUCAGUUCUCUAUAAUGGUGUCUUCUGAUUACCCAAACCCAGUGUUUCUUAUCAGGCUCAGACCAGCAUGUUUCAUUUCAGCGUUCCUCCCUGAUGUACCUUGGCCCACUAUCGACUUUAUUGCAGGGCUGAAUGGGACAUGUCGUAUUCCUUGAGUGUCACGGGACCAUCAAUCCUAACUUGCCAAUGCAAGAGUUGUUACUCCGGGAACCUCAAGGCUGUGCCCCCUUGCUUGUUCGCUCUCCCUGCCCCCAAACAUAGAAGUCCUCCUUUCUCCAGUGCAGCCACCGCUAGACACCAGAUCCGGAGAGCACUAUGAUUGCAACAGUUUCAGAAUGAAAGGCAUCGGGAGAAACCCAUGAGACGCUGAGAAGAACGAGGAGAGCUGUGGUUCAGGAGUAAAUGGCAGGGUUGCAAUGGUACUAGUCAUAAAAACAAAACCUCCCAUGAGCCAGGCGGAAAACUGCAUGUCGUGAAGCAUCGUAUGCUGGGAAGUGUAGGAGUGGGGCACGAAGUGUGAGAGAGGUUCUGUGGACGCCCCUGGAUCUGGUUUUGUUUUUUCCAGUAAGACUCCACUGUAGCAGCCUCUCAGCUCUUGAGAAACAUCCCAGUGCUGAAGCCGGUUACUAUGAUCCCUCACCACUUCUGCUUCCCAGCAGGGGUUGCCAUGGCCAGAGCUUCAGGAUGUCGUCUAGUAAUUAAAAACCGUGUUUCAGAAUUGGGAACGUUGGGAUGAACUUUGGGUAGUGAGCGCUCGCUGAGCAGCUUGAAUAAUCUGCUAAGUCUCAUUACAACUGCGGUGGGAAGUCUGAAUCACUAAUAAUGAGCUAAAUCACUGCUGCACUCAAACGCUGGGCUUCUGCUGAGCUGAACCCACCCACACUCUCACUGAUGUGGACAGGAGAAGCAUUUGGUAACCAGCAUUUUCAUGACAGGCUGGAGAAACUAUCCCAAUAAAACCUGACUCCUUCCCCAUGA